GGGGGGGGGGGUACUUUAGAGGUGUCCAAGACAAAAGUUUUGUAGUAAAGAGGUUGUCAAAAAAAUAAAAAAUGACGAUAAAAUAAUAAGAAGCCGUUCCUGGGAUAGUUCUUGAUCGUUUCGUUCGUUUUCGUGAAAGAACGAUUGUUCCCCAGGAACGAUGCCCAAUCCUUUCAAUGAGUGAUUUAAUGUCAUCCUUGUUUUCUUAGCAGUAGCAUUAAGAUCUUCGAUGGAUUUUUGCAACUGGCGAAUAUUUUUCCAAGAGAUGGUUUUCAAACUCUCUCAUGGCAUCUUGGAUUUCUUCUUUUAUGGUAUCUUGAGUUCAGCCUUGAGACUGAAACGCAUCUCACGUGUGAGAGUUGUGAGAGAGCUUAUCUGUAAACGUGCAAUCCUGAUUCCUGAUGCAUAUUCUACAUUUCUAUCAAAAUUGUGUGAUAUAUCACGAGGCUAGCAGAAGUUAAAUGCUGAUUUUUAGCAUAAUGCUGAAAUUUUCGUAAAUUGAAAAGAACAAAUUUGGUAUUUAUUUAUGCUAUAAUGAUGUUAUUUUGAUUGUUAUUUUUUUGUUAUGAUUUUUAAUGUUUUAAUCAAAUAAAGCUAUUGUAUGGUUGGUUAA